rfam:Equus caballus chromosome 20, whole genome shotgun sequence.
CAAAAGGCUCUUUUCAGAGCCAACCACUUUAUCACAAAAGUGAGCU